GAGCGUUUGGCCGAGUGGUUAAGGCGUUGUGUUUAGGACAGCGACUCGACGCCGUCGAGAUCGAUAUCCGCAUCCGCAAUGGGUCCGCCCGCGCAGGUUCGAACCCUGCAGCGCUCA